CGUUGUGUAUCUCUACAACCGACAUUGUGAGUGAACACAUUCUUUCAGGUGAAAUUGUUAUUCAUGGUGGCCUUGAACUGGUCGGUACAAAUUGUAUACAGUCAAUGGAUACAAAUGAAUCGAUGUCAGUUGCGGCCUCAAGUUCUAAUCAUCAAGUAGUUACGUUCGGAGGUGACAACGAUUUGAUAAUCUCGAACCGUAACCAUAAAGAUGUCAUGGUAAAUCAGGUAUACAGUGAUAAGGACACUUUGAAAGCUGUGAUGGUGAAGUAUGCUAUUGACAAUAGAUUUCAAUUCCAUACCGAGCGGUCGAGUUCUACAAGGUAAUACCAUCAACUGAAUACGUGCACAUGGUGAUCGAUCAAGGGAGGCUUUUCAUAGUUUGUAUUGAAAAGAAAACUUGUAGUUGCAAAGAGUUUCAAAUGGACAAGAUUCCCUGCCCACAUGCUUGGGCUGUUUUAAGAAAAAAAAAAUCUCAAACCCGAUAAUUAUUGCUCAGAAAUAUACAAAUCGGACACUAUGAUGAAGACUUAUGAUGUUCUAAUUUACCCUCCACCCGAUGAGUCAAACUGGAAAAUACCUAGAUACAUUUUGGAAGAUGUAGUUGUCCCACCGAGAUUCAAGAGACCACCUGGAAGGCCAAAAAAGAAGCGCGAUAAUUCUUUAGCCGAGUGGUUUUCAUGUUCACGUACAAAUUCGUGUAGCAGAUGUGGAUAUACUGGACACAAUAGGCGUUCCUAUAGAAACGAGCCUCGAAGAAAAUAGUUAUUGUUUUCGUUGUAAUACCUACUGUUUCUCUUGUUUCUGUUUUGGACAAAGUCUUUUGCAAAACGCAGGUCACUAUGAAUCUGUUCAUUU